rnacentral:rRNA from 1 species
UAGGGAAUCUUCGGCAAUGGACGAAAGUCUGACCGAGCAACGCCGCGUGAGUGAAGAAGGCUUUCGGAUCGUAAAACUCUGUUGUUAGAGAAGAACAAGGACGUUAGUAACUGAACGUCCCCUGACGGUAUCUAACCAGAAAGCCACGGCUAACUACGUGCCAGCAGCCGCGGUAAUACGUAGGUGGCAAGCGUUGUCCGGAUUUAUUGGGCGUAAAGCGAGCGCAGGCGGUUUCUUAAGUCUGAUGUGAAAGACCCCGGCUCAACCGGGGAGGGUCAUUGGAAACUGGGAGACUUGAGUGCAGAAGAGGAGAGUGGAAUUCCAUGUGUAGCGGUGAAAUGCGUAGAUAUAUGGAGGAACACCAGUGGCGAAGGCGGCUCUCUGGUCUGUAACUGACGAUGAGGCUCGAAAGCGUAGGGAGCAAACAGG